rnacentral:lncRNA from 1 species
CUUCCAGGAACAAUAUAAGGGUCUCCAAUUAGUUGCAGGUGCAAAUAUUAUGCAUGCAAUUAAUUGUCUUCAAAUGGUUAAUUAUGGGCAGAAUUGGCUAAUUUGGGGUGCAAUUAACUACUUGCCACUUACUCUGAGAAUGCCCGUAGACAAUAGUGUCUGCGAUUAAUUUACAAGAGCCAUUACAGAGAGAACCUUGUACUAUAAAUCCAAGAAUGGAGUGGGAGAGUUCUUUAGAAGCAUGAUUUCACUCUGGGUUAAUUGCAUUGACUCUUCCCUUUGGCUUUUCUAUGCAGGUUGACUGUAAAUGGAGUUUCUUCCAGUUGCUUCCUUGGUGUGUGCAGAUGUGCUGGUGAUGAACGUGCGGAGAGCCUGGAGAAGUCUGGGCGUGCUCCCCAAGCACAGGGCCCUCUGUUGCUGGUCUGCAGGGCCAGGUCCAGUUUUGCCUACUUGUUUUAUGUGUCUGUUGACUUUCUUCUGUGGCUUUCCGGAUACAGCAGUGCACGAGUGCUUGCAGAAAUGAGCUUCUCCAAAUCAUUCUCAAGAAGCUCAACAUCUUUGUUAAAUGGUCAACUUUUAAAGUCAUCUUAUUAGCAAUAAUCAAUACACAGGUCCCACAAGAAACCACAGAUAUAAUUUUAAAAUUUAUAGUUCUUUAUAAAGACCCUUUAUGGACCUAAGAACUGUGAUUAAACUACCUUAUUUAAUCUUCCAAAUAAUCCUAUGGAUUAGGCAUUCUUCUCACCCAUAUUUUGCUUAUAAACUCGAAAAAAAGUUUGGCAACUUGCCAGUCAAUGGUGAAGCUGGGAUCAAACCCUGUUUGCACGUCUGUCAGCCCUGAGUCUUGGUAGAUAUGCUGUAUGUGGGCCUAUGGACCAGGAAGGGCAUUGGGAGCCCAUGCUAUCCAACUUCUUCAUCUGGACAGAUGGACUUAUGGUGGCGCACACAGCUCACUGAGGCCAUGCCAAGCUUAGAAACCAGAUUUCCUGCUGCCCAAUACAAUGCUCUAACCACAGUGCACUACCAAAGGAAGGCUCUGUGAGGCAGUUCUGUCCGUUUCUAUCUAUUCUUAAUAAAAAGGGGUUUUCCUGCGGAAUUUGCAACACUUGAGGGUUUGGGUGCAGGGCACCCGUUGAAGAGGCCUUCCGCUGCACGGCCUCUGUGGACCUUGGUGGCUUCCCAUCAGAAGGCUGCAGCUGUGGUGACUGCAGGCUGCCGCCAGGUUCCCGAGAGCCUGUUCUUCACAUCUUGCUUCCUGAGCACUGGCAAAGGGUGAGUAAUCAAAGGUGACAAGCUUUCUCCUCUGGCCCCACCACUGGUACAAGGCCACCACAGGCACAAUGAUGCACACUGGCAGGUGCUGGUAGCCUGGGUUGCAG